AACACAAAGACUCUGCUGACCCAAGCAAGAAACGGGCCGAUACCAUCGAUGCUGCAAACCCGUCAGCCUCUAAAAACCUGCACGGUAAAGUCCAACACACCACCACAGAAAUCAAGUGAAACACCGUGGAGCCGGGAUGUGAGCGGGACCAAAGGAGACACCGAGACGGUCAAUGACAACCGGAGAACCGUCUCGCCCUUUGACGCCUUCAAGAACUGAAAGCUAAUUUACCAGACUGAGAGAACCCAACGCCAGUGUCAAUGGAGUCAGAACAAUUACAAUCGAGAGACAAGAUCGAAGAGAAAGCCGACACCUUCUCUUGAAUAGACAGGAACGCAGCCGUGAAGAGGAGAUUUGAUAGAUGAGAAAGUUCUUCAGAUUAAUCAAGUUUUUUAACUUCAUUGGCAGUAAAGUUUGCGGAGAUCAUAGCUCUUGCAGCUGCUAGCUCGGUGCAUCGGGUUUGUAUUACGACCUGUUUUUUGUUCUCUGCUGGGCUGUUAUAGGAGAUGAACAAGAUCUCAGGAUAUGUGCUCUCCGAGUCCAAAUCCAAAAGGCACUGACUCAGAGAAGAGGAUAAUGUGUUUAUUUUUGUUUAGCACCUAAAAGAUUCAAGGAUACUUCAUACUUGCAACUUCUGUUGAGUUGUGUUGACUGAGUUUGUAUGAAGCUGUGAGACGCAACAUAAGUAGUUGUGACAAGACGAUGUCUAGAAGGUGCUGAACGUGGAAACCAAAGUUGCUGCAGUGGUGAAGCCUUGGUUCGUGUACCUGUGUUACACAUGGAGAGUGGUGUGUGACACACGCUUCGGAGAAGAAAAAAGAAAUAUCAAGAUGCGAUAAUGUGGGAUAUUUCCAUAUGCAAUGGAUGACUAUUAAAGGAAAGAGUCACGUGGGCUUCAAGACAUUAGAAGAUCUAUGUGGACUUAGUUACAACGAAAAACCUAACUAAUAAGAUGAGAUUAAUGGGCUUGAGAAGAUUAGGGUUUACUCGUUGGAGUAUAAAGAGACGAAGGCGGUGACAAGAGCAGUCAUGCGUCUAGGGUUUAUUGAAGAUGCACAUGAAUGUGUGUGACGUGUCCUACCAGUUGAGAGAUCUGGUAGUUUUGUUAGAGAGAAUUAUACUCGUCAAGAAGACAAGGAGUAGUAGUUACUCUCAUCAUUGUAAUUCUAGAUAAGAGUGGUCGGCACGGGUGUGUGCUGGUACCAUAUAGCAAUUGUAGUUGCUAUCUUUUCUAGUGAAUGAGUUCUGGACUUGGUCCCGGGGAUGUAGGAAACGAACCUCGUAAACAAAUUUCUAUAUGUCCUUUCUUUAUGCACUAACAUACUUGCGAUCUAAGAUAUUUGCAUACAGAUACAUAGACUAGCCAUGAAUCUGUUCUUACAAUUGGUAUCAGAGCCGGUGCUCGUAGAGAUUCGUCUUAUUUCGGGUAUGAUCCUGGAUUUGUGGUUAGUGAGAAGGAAGACUUGAGGGAACAGCAGAGAGCAUGUCUGGUCAGAUUACGGUUUAGUCAAGAGUGCAACUAAGACAUCUUUGGAAGGUGUCUGCUUCGACGUAUGGUCAGUCUCGAGCUCCGGAAGUUUCUGCGCAAUGAAUAUGAAAUAUGUUCCGAGAUGGGUGUUCCAAGGCAACGGGUUGAGAUUCAAAAGUAGUCUGAUUGAGCUGAAACUUGGUGACAAUCUUCAUUGUACUACUGUCUUGCAAUUCUACGGUGGAUUGUGAUUCCAAUGGUUAGUUUGUGUUUUAUUUCAGGCGCUUCAACCUGGGCUUGGAAUAGUUCUUUCAGUGUGAGAGCAGUUUCAGAGGAGUUGUUUUAUAUGAAUGUAAUGAUGCAGGGAGAGCUAUUGCUAUGUGAUUACUGAUGGAUGAGCUUGAGUUGACACAUUCAAAUAAAAAGGGAGAGAAUGAAGAAGAUUGAUCUUUUGAGCAUCAUGCUUGAUGUAACGAGAAGCUGUUGGAGAUUUCCCAUGGAUCCUUAAACUCAGACAACAAGGGAGAGAUUGUUGAGUUGUAUUGACUGAGUUUGUAUGAAGCUGUGAGACGCAACAUAAGUAGCUGUGAGAAGACGAUGUCUAGAAGGUGCUGAACGUGGAAAACAAAGUUGCUGCAGUGGUGAAGCUUUGGUUCGUGCACCUGUGUUACACAUGGAGAGUGGUUUGUGACACACGCUUCAGAGAAGAAAAAGGAAAUAUCAAAAUGCGAUAAUGUGGGAUAUUUCCAUAUGCAAUGGAUGACUAUUAAAGAAAAGAGUCACGUGGGCUUCAAGACAUUAAAAGAUCUAUGUGGACUUAGUUACAUCGAAAAGCCUAACUAAUAAGAUGAGAUUAAUUGGCUUGAGAAGAUUAGGAUUUACUCGUUGGAGGUUGGAGUAUAAAGAGACGAAGGCGGUGACAGGAGCAGUCACGCGUCUAGGGUUUAUUGAAGAUGCACAUGGAUCUGUGUGACGUCGUCCUACCAGUUGAGAGAUCUGGUAGUUUUGUUAGAGAAAAUUAUACUCGUCAAGAAGACAAGGAGUAGUAGUUGCUCUCAUCAUUGUAAUUCUAGAUAAGAGUGGUCGGCACGGGUGUGUGCUGGUACCAUAUAGCAAUUGUAGUUGCUAUCUUUUCUAGUGAAUGAGUUCUGGACUUGGUCCCGGGGAUGUAGGAAACGAACCUCGUAAACAAAUUUCUAUGUUUCCUUUCUUUAUGCACUAACAUACUUGCGAUCUAAGAUAUUUGCAUACGGAUACAUAGACUAGCCAUGAAUCUGUUCUUACAACUUCAUGGACUUAGACUUAAGAAUUUCAGCAUUUUAUGCUUAGUGGAUU